rnacentral:rRNA from 1 species
AGAUUGAACGCUGGCGGCAGGCCUAACACAUGCAAGUCGAGCGGCAGCACGGGUACUUGUACCUGGUGGCGAGCGGCGGACGGGUGAGUAAUGCCUAGGAAUCUGCCUGAUAGUGGGGGAUAACGUUCGGAAACGGACGCUAAUACCGCAUACGUCCUACGGGAGAAAGUGGGGGAUCUUCGGACCUCACGCUAUCAGAUGAGCCUAGGUCGAUUAGCUAGUUGGUAGGGUAAAGCCUACAAGGCUACGAUCCGUAACUGGUCUGAGAGGAUGAUCAGUCACACUGGAACUGGAGACACGGUCCAGACUCCGUACGGGGAGCAGCAGGUGGGAAUAGUUAGGACAAGUGGGACGAAAGCCUGAUACCAG